rnacentral:rRNA from 1 species
AUGAGGAGGAUAGUUACUCUAAGCUACAAUCACUUGCCAUCUCAUCUCAAGUCAUGCUUUUUGUAUCUAAGCAUCUUUCCUGAGGAUUUUGAGAUCAAAAGGAGAUGUCUGAUAGAGAGAUGGAUAGCAGAGAGGUUUGUUAGAGCCAGAGGUGGAGUAAAUAUCGAGGAUGCUGGAAUAAGUUAUUUCACCGAGCUAAUCAACCGAAGCAUGAUUCAACCCUCAAAAGUGAGCAUAGAAGGAGUUGUUAAGAGCUGUCGAGUCCAUGAUAUUGUGCGUGAUGUCAUGAUCUCAAUUUCUAGAGAUGAAAAUUUCGUGUACUUGGCACAAGAUAAUGUGACUAGUGUCACAGAGGAGGCCUUUCGCCAUGUAGCAUACCAUGGUAGAGAGUCCCAAAAUAUAGGCAUGGACUGGAGCCAUGUCCGGUCAUUAACCAUGUUUGGUGGGAGACCAUUGGAGCCAUCAUCUUCAGUUUGUUCACCUGAUAUGAGAAUGCUUUGAGCCUUGGAUCUAGAGAAUGCACAGUUUCAAGUCACACAAAAGGAUAUAAGCAACAUAGGAUUGCUGCGCCACCUGAAGUAUCUGAAUUUUUGUGAUCCUAAAGCACAUUACAUUUAUAAACUUCCUAGAUCCAUAGGAAAAUUACAAGGCUUGCGUACUUUGAACAUAAGAAACAGUUAUAUUACAGAACUGCCAACCAAGAUCAGUAAACUCAAGAGUCUACAUAGUCUCCGUUGUACCAGGAAUCAUUUCUAUUACUGGUUUGACCUGGCUAACCCCAUGUGA